rnacentral:rRNA from 1 species
CUGCGGCAGCAUGUUUACAUGCUGGGUAGGGGAGCGUUGUGUAAGUGGAUGAAGGUGAGUUGUAAAGCUUGCUGGACAUAUCACAAGUGCGAAUGCUGACAUGAGUAACGAUAAUGGGAGUGAAAAACUCCCACGCCGGAAGACCAAGGUUUCCUGUCCCAUGCUAAUCAGGGCAGGGUAAGUCGGCCCCUAAGGCGAGGCAGAAAUGCGUAGUCGAUGGGAAACGGGUUAAUAUUCCCGUACUUAUAUAAUCAGUGAUGGAGGGACGGAGAAGGCUAGGCAAGCUUGGCGUUGGUUGUCCAAGUGAAAGUGAGUAGGCUGAAGACUUAGGUAAAUCCGGGUUUUCAAGGCCGAGACACGAGACGAGCUCCCAAGGGAGUGAAGUUGUUGAUGCCCUGCUUCCAGGAAAAGCUUCUAAACUUAUGAUUAUAUGAACCGUACCCCAAACCGACACAGGUGGUCAGGUAGAGAAUACUAAGGCGCUUGAGAGAACUCGGGUGAAGGAACUCGGCAAAAUUGUACCGUAACUUCGGGAGAAGGUACGCCUCUGUUUGUGAACACUUCGCGUGGUAAGCAAAUGGAGGCCGCAGUGACCAGGUGGCUGGGACUGUUUAUUAAAAACACAGCACUCUGCAAACUCGUAAGAGGACGUAUAGGGUGUGACACCUGCCCGGUGCCGGAAGGUUAAUUGAUGGGGUUAGUCCUCGGACGAAGCUCUUGAUCGAAGCCCCGGUAAACGGCGGCCGUAACUAUAACGGUCCUAAGGUAGCGAAAUUCCUUGUCGGGUAAGUUCCGACCUGCACGAAUGGUGUAACCAUGGCCACGCUGUCUCCACCCGAGACUCAGUGAAAUUGAAAUCGCAGUGAAGAUGCUGUGUACCCGCACCUAGACGGAAAGACCCCGUGAACCUUUACUACAGCUUGGCACUGAACAUUGAACCUACAUGUGUAGGAUAGGUGGGAGGCUUUGAAGCACAGUCGCUAGAUUGUGUGGAGCCGUCCUUGAAAUACCACCCUUGUAUGUUUGAUGUUCUAACAUUGUUCCCUUAUCGGGAAUGUGGACAGUGUCUGGUGGGUAGUUUGACUGGGGCGGUCUCCUCCCAAAUAGUAACGGAGGAGCACGAAGGUUAGCUAAUCACGGUCGGACAUCGUGAGGUUAGUGCAAUGGCAUAAGCUAGCUUAACUGCGAGACAGACACGUCGAGCAGGUACGAAAGUAGGUCAUAGUGAUCCGGUGGUUCUGUAUGGAAGGGCC